rnacentral:rRNA from 1 species
GGUUAAGCGACUAAGCGUACACGGUGGAUGCCCUGGCAGUCAGAGGCGAUGAAGGGCGUGCUAAUCUGCGAUAAGCGCCGGUAAGGUGAUAUGAACCGUUAUAACCGGCGAUACCCGAAUGGGGAAACCCAGUGUGACUCGUCACACUAUCAUUAACUGAAUCCAUAGGUUAAUGAGGCGAACCGGGGGAACUGAAACAUCUAAGUACCCCGAGGAAAAGAAAUCAACCGAGAUUCCCCCAGUAGCGGCGAGCGAACGGGGAGGAGCCCAGAGCCUGAAUCAGCAUGUGUGUUAGUGGAAGCGUCUGGAAAGGCGCGCGAUACAGGGUGACAGCCCCGUACACAAAAGCGCAUGUGCUGUGAGCUCGAUGAGUAGGGCGGGACACGUGGUAUCCUGUCUGAAUAUGGGGGGACCAUCCUCCAAGGCUAAAUACUCCUGACUGACCGAUAGUGAACCAGUACCGUGAGGGAAAGGCGAAAAGAACCCCGGCGAGGGGAGUGAAAAAGAACCUGAAACCGUGUACGUACAAGCAGUGGGAGCCCCACCACUAAGCCAGUGGUGAACUCCACAUACGCAUCCUUUGCUGAGGAUACGGUUAACGGAGCGAAAGCGACGUUCAACCUCAAAAGAAGCAGAGGGGGCUUAGUGGUGGGGUGACUGCGUACCUUUUGUAUAAUGGGUCAGCGACUUAUAUUCUGUAGCAAGGUUAACCGUAUAGGGGAGCCGGAGGGAAACCGAGUCUUAACCGGGCGUUAAGUUGCAGGGUAUAGACCCGAAACCCGGUGAUCUAGCCAUGGGCAGGUUGAAGGUUGGGUAACACUAACUGGAGGACCGAACCGACUAAUGUUGAAAAAUUAGCGGAUGACCUGUGGCUGGGGGUGAAAGGCCAAUCAAACCGGGAGAUAGCUGGUUCUCCCCGAAAGCUAUUUAGGUAGCGCCUCGUGAAUUCAUCUCCGGGGGUAGAGCACUGUUUCGGCUAGGGGGCCAUCCCGGCUUACCAACCCGAUGCAAACUGCGAAUACCGGAGAAUGUUAUCACGGGAGACACACGGCGGGUGCUAACGUCCGUCGUGAAGAGGGAAACAACCCAGACCGCCAGCUAAGGUCCCAAAGUCAUGGUUAAGUGGGAAACGAUGUGGGAAGGCCCAGACAGCCAGGAUGUUGGCUUAGAAGCAGCCAUCAUUUAAAGAAAGCGUAAUAGCUCACUGGUCGAGUCGGCCUGCGCGGAAGAUGUAACGGGGCUAAACCAUGCACCGAAGCUGCGGCAGCGACACUCAGGUGUUGUUGGGUAGGGGAGCGUUCUGUAAGCCUGCGAAGGUGGCCUGUGAGGGUUGCUGGAGGUAUCAGAAGUGCGAAUGCUGACAUAAGUAACGAUAAAGCGGGUGAAAAGCCCGCUCGCCGGAAGACCAAGGGUUCCUGUCCAACGUUAAUCGGGGCAGGGUGAGUCGACCCCUAAGGCGAGGCCGAAAGGCGUAGUCGAUGGGAAACGGGUUAAUAUUCCCGUACUUGGUGUUACUGCGAAGGGGGGACGGAGAAGGCUAUGUUGGCCGGGCGACGGUUGUCCCGGUUUAAGCGUGUAGGUGUGUGUUCCAGGUAAAUCCGGUUCACUUUAACACUGAGGCGUGAUGACGAGGCACUACGGUGCUGAAGCAACAAAUGCCCUGCUUCCAGGAAAAGCCUCUAAGCAUCAGGUAACAUCAAAUCGUACCCCAAACCGACACAGGUGGUCAGGUAGAGAAUACCAAGGCGCUUGAGAGAACUCGGGUGAAGGAACUAGGCAAAAUGGUGCCGUAACUUCGGGAGAAGGCACGCUGACACGUAGGUGAAGUGAUUUACUCAUGGAGCUGAAGUCAGUCGAAGAUACCAGCUGGCUGCAACUGUUUAUUAAAAACACAGCACUGUGCAAACACGAAAGUGGACGUAUACGGUGUGACGCCUGCCCGGUGCCGGAAGGUUAAUUGAUGGGGUCAGCGCAAGCGAAGCUCCUGAUCGAAGCCCCGGUAAACGGCGGCCGUAACUAUAACGGUCCUAAGGUAGCGAAAUUCCUUGUCGGGUAAGUUCCGACCUGCACGAAUGGCGUAAUGAUGGCCAGGCUGUCUCCACCCGAGACUCAGUGAAAUUGAACUCGCUGUGAAGAUGCAGUGUACCCGCGGCAAGACGGAAAGACCCCGUGAACCUUUACUAUAGCUUGACACUGAACAUUGAGCCUUGAUGUGUAGGAUAGGUGGGAGGCUUUGAAGUGUGGACGCCAGUCUGCAUGGAGCCGACCUUGAAAUACCACCCUUUAAUGUUUGAUGUUCUAACGUGGACCCGUGAUCCGGGUUGCGGACAGUGUCUGGUGGGUAGUUUGACUGGGGCGGUCUCCUCCUAAAGAGUAACGGAGGAGCACGAAGGUUGGCUAAUCCUGGUCGGACAUCAGGAGGUUAGUGCAAUGGCAUAAGCCAGCUUGACUGCGAGCGUGACGGCGCGAGCAGGUGCGAAAGCAGGUCAUAGUGAUCCGGUGGUUCUGAAUGGAAGGGCCAUCGCUCAACGGAUAAAAGGUACUCCGGGGAUAACAGGCUGAUACCGCCCAAGAGUUCAUAUCGACGGCGGUGUUUGGCACCUCGAUGUCGGCUCAUCACAUCCUGGGGCUGAAGUAGGUCCCAAGGGUAUGGCUGUUCGCCAUUUAAAGUGGUACGCGAGCUGGGUUUAGAACGUCGUGAGACAGUUCGGUCCCUAUCUGCCGUGGGCGCUGGAGAACUGAGGGGGGCUGCUCCUAGUACGAGAGGACCGGAGUGGACGCAUCACUGGUGUUCGGGUUGUCAUGCCAAUGGCACUGCCCGGUAGCUAAAUGCGGAAGAGAUAAGUGCUGAAAGCAUCUAAGCACGAAACUUGCCCCGAGAUGAGUUCUCCCUGAGACUUAGAGUCUCCUGAAGGAACGUUGAAGACGACGACGUUGAUAGGCCGGGUGUGUAAGCGCAGCGAUGCGUUGAGCUAACCGGUACUAAUGAACCGUGAGGCUUAACCUU